rnacentral:rRNA from 1 species
GACGAACCGUACGAACGUUAUUCGGAAUCACUGGGCUUAAAGGGUGCGUAGGCGGUGCGGAAAGUUGGGUGUGAAAUCCCUCGGCUCAACCGAGGAAUUGCGCCCAAAACUACCGUGCUCGAGGGAGACAGAGGUGAGUGUAACUUAGGGUGGAGCGGUGAAAUGCGUUGAUAUCCUAAGGAACACCAGUUGCGAAAGCGACUCACUGGGUCUCUUCUGACGCUGAGGCACGAAAUCUAGGGGAGCAAACGGG